rnacentral:rRNA from 1 species
UACGAAGGGGGCUAGCGUUGCUCGGAAUCACUGGGCGUAAAGCGCACGUAGGCGGAUGUGCCAGUCAGGGGUGAAAUCCCGGAGCUCAACUUCGGAACUGCCUCUGAUACAGCACGUCUUGAGUCCGGAAGAGGCGAGUGGAAUUCCUGGUGUAGCGGUGGAAUGCGCAGAUAUCAGGAGGAACACCAAUAGCGAAGGCAGCUCGCUGGGACGUUACUGACACUGAGGCGCGAAAGCGUGGGGAGCGAACAGG